GGUUUAGUGAUUGAUCAUUCUAUCCACCAAGUAGCAUGUGUGGUGUGCAGAAGAAUUUUUGCACCUGACAAUGAUGAUCUUGAGACUGUCAGUAUAUGCGGGGACUGUAAAUUUUUGCUUCUCGAAGAUCCUGGGGACACCACACUUGAUUCUCUUCAGAGAAGGCCACGCAGAGGAAGAAGAACUAGGUACAGCAGCUCUGAAUCAAUUGAAAAUCUUUUUUCACAACAGUUAUCACAUAUGAGGCAAAACCAGUCCAUUGCGUCUGGUCAUGAUAAUCCAUCUGUAGAUGGAGAUACUUCUGUUAGACUAUUGCAGCACACAAGCUCCCAUACAACACCAACUGGUUCUAGAAGAUGGCGGCGGGUUCUCUCGGACACUGAAAGUGAGGGUUUUGAUAAUUUGGAUUCGCUUUAUGGUGAGAGUGAAACAACUCCCAGUGUCAGUUGGUCAAGGGUUUAUCAUGGUGAGAGUGAUGCCAUUUCUUUUAGUGCAUAUGGAGGGGACUCUGAUGUAGAUGCUGAUGGACAUAGUUAUGUGGAUACUGAGAUGUUUAUUCGACCAGAUGAGGGAAGCAAUGUUGACAGUGAUACUGACAUUGAUCCAAUG
rnacentral:misc_RNA from 1 species